rnacentral:lncRNA from 1 species
AGGGCUGAGCAAAACCGAACCGAAACCGUAAAACCGAACCGAAUUGUAAAAUUUCGGUUCGGUUCGGUUUCAAUUUUUUCAAAAUUUCGGUUAAUUCGGUUUUUCGGGUUGAACCGAAAAUAAUUUCGGUUCGGUUCGGUUUUUGAGAUAACAUUUCGGUUUAAACCGAAAAAACCGAACUUUUUAUUAUAUAAAAAAUUAAUAUAUUUUAUAGACAGUUGUAACAUUACUGGGUAACCUAAAUACCUAAUAUCUUAAUUAUUCAAGCAUCUCACUGAGUCCACUCGAGCCCCGAUUUCAAUCUUCGAGCAUCAGCUGCGAUCCCAGAUUCCUCUUGGACUUGUAUUCCUCUUAGAUCUGAGAUACCAUUUUCUAUGUACAGGUAAUGUGUGUGUUUUUGUUCGAUUGCUUAUUUGGGAAUAGUUGGUGAUUAAGUCCUGGGUUGCAAAUGUUUAACUGGGAGGUUUCUUAUGUUAAGUCAAGUUUGUGGUGAUGGAUGCGAUACCAGGAAGGGACCAAGAUCAAGAAGAUUAUAUAAUCACUGGCUUCUCACUGUUGAUUUUUUGAAAAUUUCGGUUUUUUAAGCUAAAACCGAAACCGAACCGAAAUAAUUCGGUUAAUUCGGUUCGGUUUUGAAUAAUAAUUCGGUCCGGUUCGGUUUCGAAAAAAACAAUAAUUCGGUUUUCGGUUUUUUCGGUUCGGUUCGGUUUUGAACCGAACCGACCGAAUGCUCAG